UACGUAGGGCGCAAGCGUUAUCCGGAAUUAUUGGGCGUAAAGAGCUCGUAGGCGGUUUGUCGCGUCUGCCGUGAAAGUCCGGGACUCAACUCCGGAUCUGCGGUGGGUACGGGCAGACUAGAGUGAUGUAGGGGAGACUGGAAUUCCUGGUGUAGCGGUGAAAUGCGCAGAUAUCAGGAGGAACACCAAUGGCGAAGGCAGCACUCUGGGACGUGACUGACGCUGAGGAGCGAAAGCCAGGGGAGCAAACGGG
rnacentral:rRNA from 1 species